rnacentral:rRNA from 1 species
AUUGAACGCUGGCGGCAGGCCUAACACAUGCAAGUCGAACGAGUGGCGGACGGGUGAGUAAUGUCUGGGAAACUGCCUGAUGGAGGGGGAUAACUACUGGAAACGGUAGCUAAUACCGCAUACCAUCGGAUGUGCCCAGAUGGGAUUAGCUUGUUGGUGGGGUAACGGCUCACCAAGGCGACGAUCCCUAGCUGGUCUGAGCGGAUGACCAGCCACAAUGGAACUGAGCCACGGUCCAGACUCCUACGGUAGGCAGCAGUGGGGAAUAUUGCACAAUGGGCGCAAGCCUGAUGCAGCCAUGCCGCGUGUAUGAAGAAGGCCUUCGGGUUGUAAAGUACUUUCAGCGGCGAGGCGUUAACCGCAGAAGAAGCACCGGCUAACUCCGUGCCAGCAGCCGCGGUAAUUC